rnacentral:lncRNA from 1 species
AUGGAAGUGCUGGCCUGUGCUUGCUGCUGAUUGGGGGCCUGAGGCAAAAGAAUUGAAAGACCAAGGCUGGCCUGGCUACAGAGGGAGACCCCGUGGACAGACAGCAAAAGGUUGGAGGUAGACAUCUAUGUUGUGGCACUUGCCUCACACAAAUGAGCUUCUGGCCUCACUGUCCUGCACAUCACUUGGCAGGGGGCAGGUUAGCUCAACAGCUCAGAAGCUGCCAGAGGAAGUCACAGGUCAGGAAGGCCAUGGCCCAGCAGCCUUGGAACCAGGCAGGCCCCUUGUAUGGAAACUGUCGAGGCAGUGAUGGCUGUACACACCUGUCUUCCUAGCUAUGCUCCUCCUGAAGCAGGAGGGUUGUGACUGAGUUCAUCUGGGCUGCUGAGCAGGGCCCUGAACCAAAUCAGGAGUUAGGAGCCCACAGGGGCCAUGUAAAGGAGAGGCAGGCCUCAAACCACACAGUGUCUCCAUGUGAGUAGCCCAUGCUUGGCCGAGCGGUGUCAGUGCUGUGUCUGCUGGCUUCACCAAGCUUCUCCCUUGCAGCUGCGCAGGGCUAGACUUCUCCUUUGAGCGCUCUGAGGAGCUGGAUGUUAACGCUUUUGAGGACAUCAUGGCUUUCUAUGAGAGCAGGAAGUAAGUAGCAGCCUUUGCACCAAGACCAGGGAGGCACAGGCCAGGGCCACCUUCUAGGAGCUCAGAGCAACAUCCUUCUGGGGACACACUGCCAGAUUUGGCCAGGUCAGCGUAUAUGUGGGGCUGGUAGGAGGCCCUGCUCAGAGCUUUCUAGACAGGAAAGCUGCACAGGAAGUAAAAGAAACCAUUAACCCUGUGUCACCCAUGUUGUUUUUGCUCUUGUGCCUCCCUGGAGGGUGAGGGAGCGGAGCGAUUUGCAUAACCAAAUCAUCAAGAGCCUCAAAGGACUGCCAUGGCAGGGCGAGGACCCGCGGAGGCUUCUCCAGUCCCUCAGUCGGCUCCAGAAGCCCCGCACCUUCUUCCUAACCUGCUGGACUCUAAGUCCCUGAGGCUCAUCAUCAGCAUGACGCUGCAUGACCGAACUACCAAGUCACUGCUGCACCUGCACAAG